ACGAACGCUGGCGGCAUGCCUAGCCCAUGCAAGUCGCACGCGACCUUCGGGUCUAGUGGCGCACGGGUGCGUAACGCGUGGGAACCUGCCCUUAGGUUCGGAAUAACUCCCCGAAAGGGGUGCUAAUACCGGAUAAUGUCUUCGGACCAAAGAUUUAUCGCCUUUGGAUGGGCCCGCGUUGGAUUAGCUAGUUGGUAGGGUAAAAGCCUACCAAGGCGACGAUCCAUAGCUGGUCUGAGAGGAUGAUCAGCCACACUGGGACUGAGACACGGCCCAGACUCCUACGGGAGGCAGCAGUGGGGAAUAUUGGACAAUGGGCGAAAGCCUGAUCCAGCAAUGCCGCGUGAGUGAUGAAGGCCUUAGGGUUGUAAAGCUCUUUUACCCGGGAUGAUAAUGACAGUACCGGGAGAAUAAGCGCCGGCUAACUCCGUG
rnacentral:rRNA from 1 species